UGCCCUGGAAGACCGCCAAGUCCCGUGGUACUGGUGGUGGAAGCGACGUACUUUGGGGCCCUCGGUGCUCUACGGAAUUGCUCGCCGGUGAUGUUCCCUUGCCGCAUUCCGCCUUGUGUCGUGCCCUACUUCACCUGCGCAACGGUUGACGGUAAGAACACUCCUAACUAGUCCGUUCUGGCCUCCUCUACGUGUAGCACCAUUCGGAUUGGGACUUGGGGCUCUGGGCCGCAAGAUCACCUACUCCGGUGAGAGCUCCGCCGUGGAGAGAACUCUGUGCCACGGUGACCCUAUGCUCCGUGGUAGAAGAUGGUGCAGGAGCGUAGAUUUAUUGGCGACCGGGCAGGAUUAGAUGUUAGGGUGUUGUGCCGGGAGCCGUUGAUCGUCCAACACAUGGUCCGGAUUAGAUCUGUGUUUCAUUAAACUGUAACCAUUGAUCUCGCGGGCUGCGACUGGGAUUGGAGUUUGCCUACCGGUACGGUCAGGGUUGUUCUUGUCCGUUGAUCCGUGAGCGUAUGGCUUAGAUCUGAUAAGUGAUACUCCUACGCGUAAAUGAAUCCUAACCGUCUGAUCCGAUCGGACGACUGGGGUACUGGCUGGUGUGAGGGUCUCGCGGGCCGUCGAUUUCGGAUCGUGCGAACAUCGUUGAAUACCGCUUCAGAUCUAGACCGUGGCCAUUCAGAUCUAAUCUUGCGGCCACGAUCAUCAGAUACCCCUUCAGUUGUGCCAUAUUUAUAAAAGACACCAUGGAAAACUUGGAAAAUAACCCGCAAUCCACUUCAGUUUAACAGAAACUAUAAUCAGGCUCUGGAAUUUAUAGUUUAGACCCUGGGGUCUCCUGUAUUUGUGACCCCAGUCCAAAUAACUGGGAAAUUGAUUAAAAUAAAUAAAGAAAUCAAUUUUAAUGCAAAAAUAAAGUCCCAAUCUUAGGAAAUUCAUAACUCUAUGAAUUUAACUCUUUUUAACCCAUUCCAGUUGCAAUAAAUUCAUAAUAAUGUUGUUUAUUAGCUAGUAACCUUAUGUUAUUAUGAAACAUAAAUUUAAACUAUGCACUUUAGUUUCUUUUUAUCCGACACUUGAAACUUCGGAAAUUCAUAGCAUCUCCGUUUUAACUCCGAAUUGAUCCGUUCCAGUUGCGCUAGCUUCGUAAUAAAAUUACCUACGCAAAUAACAACAUUAUUCACAACAUAUUAUUUAUUAUAUAAUUGGAUAUUGGUUAUCCUAUGCUUAGUGAUUUAUCUUGCUAAUUAAAGUUAACUGUUUAGGGAUAUAACUUCACUAAAGAUACAACUUAUGAUCAGGUUAUAUCUUGAAUUAAAGUUUAAUUAACUAUUUCUCACAUGCUUUAUAUUAAUGAACAUAUAAUAUAGUUUUACUGAUUAAUUCCCUAAAACUUUGAGAAGUCAUAUCUUCCUAACCGUAACUCCAAUUUUAGUGGUUCUCGAACCUAGGUUCUCGGUACAACGCGUAGAUUAUUAUUAUGCAGUUUGUUCUUAUGUUUGGUGUUAUAUUAAUUUUGCAUGUACCCUGUUUAUUUGUAUUGCUACGACUAGCGCGAGGUUACGAGUCACUUGAAGAGCAAGUUGGUACCUGGAAUCUCAAGUCCCAUGCAAGUUGUGCCCUUAAUCACCUUUAUUUACCCAAUAAUGUUCUCUAUAAUCAUUUUGGCAUGCAUAGGCUUAAUUUUGAUGCGACCCAAUAGGUCAGCCUAGUUUGGUCAUCAUUACAACUUGUUUAACCCUGAACUUUUGGGUAGUCUUUGCUAUUGCUCUAUAUGGUUUUGGGAUUAAUAUUACAUUAUGAUCAUGUUCCAAUUAUACUGUUGUUUUAUUUAUUGUUCAUGACAAGAUCAUUAUAUUAAUUGGAACAUUGGGCUUAACUUGAGAAACACGUGCCGCCACAAGGGUGGAAUGGGAUGCCCUUGGCUGAAUAAUUAGGAAAGCUAGUGGAGGACUACCUUACCCGAAAGGGCAAGGGCAGUAGGGGAGUAGGCAUGUAGGGAGGUUCUCGGGUUGAUUUUGCUACGAUGGCGGUCAGACGGGGGAUUCCUGCAUUGCUCUUCCUAGAAACUGUAGCGGGUUUUCUGAAGCUAGUGGAACUUUGUAAAGGCCUCGUAGUGUUACUCUGCCUCGCUUCCUUGGUAGAGGUGUGUGGGGCCCGUACAACCCUGUGGCAGAUGGGUAACAUGACUUGUGGGUAAAGGGUACCACCUCUGCAGAGUGUAAAAUUGUUAUACUAGCCGUGCUCGCGGUCAUGAGCAGCUCAAGACUCUUGCAUGAUUAAUUUCUGGAAUUAAAUUCAAUUUGUCAUAUGCAUUGCAUUGUGGGUGUUGUUAUCAAUUUUGAUCUACUACUUUUUUGGGUGGUAUCUACUUACAUUUAGUAAUUGCUAAUAAAAUUUUGUUCAACUUUAAAAGCGAUGCUCAACUUUAACCAUCCUCUUUAGUAAGCCUUGCACUUCACAUGAUCUCUCACCUUUGGCGAGUUCAUGCACAUUAUUCCCCACAACUUGUUGAGCAAUGAACAUAUAUGAGCUAACCCUUGCUGUCUCACACCCCCACAGGUCAAGAACAGGUACCGUAGGUGAGGCGCAUGGAGGAUGAUGUGAUGAGUUCGUGAGAGGUCUAGGCCGUCGUCUCCCAGUCAACUUUGGGUUGCUAGAUUGUUGUCUUCGUAUGAUAUAACUAUUUAAAUAUUUUG
rnacentral:lncRNA from 1 species